CGGGUAUUGAGGAUGGCGGACGGGUGAGUAACGCGUAAGGAACUUGCCUCUUGGACUGGGACAACUGUUGGAAACGACAGCUAAUACCGGAUAUUAUGAGAUUCUCGCAUGGGAAACUUAUGAAAGCUAUAUGCGCCAAGAGAGAGCCUUGCGUUCCAUUAGCUAGUUGGUGGGGUAACGGCCCACCAAGGCGACGAUGGAUAGCCGGCCUGAGAGGGUGAACGGCCACAAGGGGACUGAGACACGGCCCUUACUCCUACGGGAGGCAGCAGUGGGGAAUAUUGGACAAUGGACCAAAAGUCUGAUCCAGCAAUUCUGUGUGCACGAUGAAGGUCUUCGGAUCGUAAAGUGCUUUCAGUUGGGAAGAAGAAAGUGACGGUACCAACAGAAGAAGCGACGGCUAAAUACGUGCCAGCAGCCGCGGUAAUACGUAUGUCGCAAGCGUUAUCCGGAUUUAUUGGGCGUAAAGCGCGUCUAGGCGGAAAAAUAAGUCUGAUGUUAAAAUGCGGGGCUCAACUCCGUAUUGCGUUGGAAACUGUUUUUCUAGAGUACUGGAGAGAUGGGCGGAACUACAAGUGUAGAGGUGAAAUUCGUAGAUAUUUGUAGGAAUGCCGAUGGAGAAGUCAGCUCACUGGACAGAUACUGACGCUAAAGCGCGAAAGCGUGGGGAGCAAACAGGAUUAGAUACCCUGGUAGUCCACGCCGUAAACGAUGAUCACUAGGUGUUGGGGGUCGAACCUCAGCGCCCAAGCUAACGCGAUAAGUGAUCCG
rnacentral:rRNA from 1 species